GGGGCUGUUACGGAUUCGACAGGCAUAGGUCGAGCCUGAAUUGCGCUUCGUAGGUUACGGCUACGUUAAAACGUUACAGUUAAAUAUAACUGCUAAAAACAACAAUAACUCUUACGCUUUAGCUGCCUAAAAACAGUUAGCGUAGAUCCUCCCGGUAUCGCCCAUGUGCUCGGGUAAGGGUCCUAUUCUAAGUGGGAUACGCUAAAACUUUCCGUCUGUAAGUUUUAGAAGAGCUCAUCAGACUAGCAACGUAAAUCGCCUGUCGUUCGGCAGUUUAUCAAGCGAAACUUCAAUAGAACCGACUAUGAGCGUAGACUUUUAGGUAGCGAUGUGUUUGGACGCGGGUUCGACUCCCGCCAGCUCCAUUU
rnacentral:tmRNA from 1 species